rnacentral:misc_RNA from 1 species
GAAAUGCGAUAAGUAGUGUGAAUUGCAGAAUUCAGUGAAUCAUCGAAUCUUUGAACGCACAUUGCGCCCCUCGGUAUUCCGUGGGGCAUGCCUGUUCGAGCGUCAUCUACACCCUCAAGCUCUGCUUGUUGUUGGGCGUCUGUCCCGCCUCCGCGCGCGGACUCGCCCCAAAUGCAUUGGCAGCGGUUCCUUGCCCCCCUCUUUGCGCAGCACAUUGCCAUUCGAGGCGGCGGCGGCCCGCGUCCAACAAGCUCAACCCCCCCGUCUUUGACCUCGGAUCAGGUAGGGAUACCCGCUGAACUUAAGC